rnacentral:rRNA from 1 species
AUAACUCCGGGAAACCGGGGCUAAUACCGGAUGGUUGUUUGAACCGCAUGGUUCAAACAUAAAAGGUGGCUUCGGCUACCACUUACAGAUGGACCCGCGGCGCAUUAGCUAGUUGGUGAGGUAACGGCUCACCAAGGCAACGAUGCGUAGCCGACCUGAGAGGGUGAUCGGCCACACUGGGACUGAGACACGGCCCAGACUCCUACGGGAGGCAGCAGUAGGGAAUCUUCCGCAAUGGACGAAAGUCUGACGGAGCAACGCCGCGUGAGUGAUGAAGGUUUUCGGAUCGUAAAGCUCUGUUGUUAGGGAAGAACAAGUACCGUUCGAAUAGGGCGGUACCUUGACGGUACCUAACCAGAAAGCCACGGCUAACUACGUGCCAGCAGCCGCGGUAAUACGUAGGUGGCAAGCGUUGUCCGGAAUUAUUGGGCGUAAAGGGCUCGCAGGCGGUUUCUUAAGUCUGAUGUGAAAGCCCCCGGCUCAACCGGGGAGGGUCAUUGGAAACUGGGGAACUUGAGUGCAGAAGAGGAGAGUGGAAUUCCACGUGUAGCGG